rnacentral:lncRNA from 1 species
CCACCCUCUCUAUCUGAGCAUUGAUAUCGUCGUCUACUAUUUUCAACAUCACUUUUGUUCAUCUUCAGCUCUGGGUGAUUGAUUCUUUGCCAUGGGAGCUUUAUCUGAGAUCUAUUACCAUCUUGAAAUAGAAAGUAGCUACUCGUCCUUGUAUGUUGUUUUUUUAGCUUCCUCUCCAUUUGACUUGAUUUCUCUACCUAAUUUCUAGCUGAGAUCUCAGGUGGAUGGAAUAAGAAAUGCCUUUUUUGAGCUCCAUUGAAGGGUCUAUUAACCUAGAUAAGGUUGUCUUCCCCAAGUAAGUAGCAGCUAACCUUAUGAGUUAAGAUCUAUCUUUGCUUGCACGUACUGACCUCUUCUAUCCUUGUAGAAGUAGAAGUGAACAAGAUAAUAGGAUGCUUGGACCCAUAGGCAUUUGGGAGAUAUCCAUUGUCCAGGUUACGCAGUAACUUUCCAUAUUUCCGCUUCCUUGUUGCUAACAGAACAUUUUGUAGGCUGUUGUACAUUAGGAUAAGUAAAAAAGUACUUACCAAGUUUUUGUGGCCUUGCAAGGAUUGUAAAUAAACUUGUUUAAUCUGUAGCCUAGCUAGUCUUUUACCCUCUUAGUGGUAACAAUAUCAAGUAUGGUUUUUAUGACUUAUAACUGUUGAGUAUUUUAUUUCCUGUUGUUUGCAUAUGUUGAAAGCUUGUGAAUAUGAAUUACUUUACUUCAAAUACAUAAUUAGCAAAGUAAUCAACCAUUUUGUUCCCUUUUCUCAGAAUGUGCUGGUACUGGACUGUUGUAUGUUGCAAUAACCUCCAUGUUUGACUAAAUUUGUCCUCUAUACUCCAUGGACAAUCCAAUUGUUGUUUUAAAAUCUUCAUCAUGCUUAAUGAAUCUAUUUGUAUAAAUGCUUUGCUAAUGUAUGCCUUAUUGCAAUGUAAUGCUGCUUGUGGUAUAGCUUCUGCUUCUGCAUAAAAAUUUGAAGUAUCUUCUAUGAUUUCCCCUUUUUGCAUACACUCAAUCCCCCCUUUUCAUCCCUCACACAAAAUGCAUAAGAGUUUGCCCCUGGAUUUCCCCUAGAGGCUCCAUCUGUAUUGAUUUUAACCCAACCCUAUUGAGGAAAAUCCCACUUUACCAUUGUGACUUUCAGCCUGGUUUUGUGCCUUGCCAACUCUGCCAAGAUUUCUGGCCAUGUAUUAGGAAGAUAUGGCUUCCUUACUUUAAGAAUUAAUUUGAUGUUUCUAAUGAUGUUGUGCUAUAUAUUAUGCUCAGAUAUCCGCUUCCCUUCAUGUUUCCCCUUGUUCCUUCUUUUCCAUAUCUUCUAAAUAAUAAUAAUAGGAAUAGUAAGAUAAUAGCUUUUAUAUCUGAGUCUAACAUCUGCAUUCCACCAUGCCAUGAUAAUCACUCUAAAGUUUAGCCCUUGUACGUUUAUUCCUGCAAAAAAUAAAAGUAGGGCCAUGUCCUGUUAGCAAUAGGAGCUCUCAGAAACCCAUAUGAAAUGUUCUCUCGAGCAUGGGUAGUACAACACCAACAUUUGGUAGGACCUUCCACCCCCAUCUUCUAAUAGCCUCAUCAACUGGUAUUUUUUCUUUCCAGAUUCUCCACAUUAAAAAGGAGAAUUUGAAAGGUAGUCUUUUUACCCACAUCUCCUUGAAAAUAUCACUAUUUUCCUUUCUCUAUCUUAUAUACUCCUAAGAAGACUUCACACCAAAUUUUCCAUUAGAUUUAAGCAUCCAAAUAGGUUUGUCCCUUUCCAUACUCCGUUCGGUGGCUAUACAGUAUCUAUAAUAUGAUUAGCGAUUUUCGCUAGUAACAAUUGAUUCAAUAUAUUAGCAUUCCAUGUUCCUUGCCUUAUCAAGAUAUUUAUCUUCUAAAAUAUGUCAUUCCACAUCAAGUCAUUUUCUAUAAUAUGGUACAGACUCCCUAAUAUUGUCCAGUUAUCCCACCAAGUGCUAGAUUCUCUAUUCUUGAUUUUCCAUAAUAUCUGAUGCUCAAUCAAAUCUAAAGCCUAUAAUAUUUUUUUCCAUACUUUUAAACCCCCAGAUCCUUCUUCCAUAGAAUUAUAGUAGGGUGUUCCUUCUUACAAUACUUUUUAUGUAUAUAAUCCACCCAAAUCAACUUUUUGGUUCUUAAGUUCCACCAUAGAUUGCAAAACAAAGUUGCUACUCAUCUCACUAACUUUCUCCUUUGAUCACUUUGGUCAGGCUCUCUCAUAGUCCUCCUACUCCUCAUAACCCUCAAUCUAUAAUCAAACCCCAUUGUAGUAGAGACCCCACAAUUCUAUACCAAAUAAAAAUUUAAAAAUAUUCUCCUCAAAUAAAUCAAUUGUAACCUCUCUGGCCAGUGCAUACCUUAGUAGGGGUUGGUCUUGAGUUCUCUCCCUCCGCUGGUGUGAGUAAGUCAAUUGAUAUAGGGUAAGAUACAUAAAACUCUGAUACCACCUUGGGGCUGUAAGAUCCUGAAGGCUUACCCAUCCAUCAAAUUCUAUAUCUAUCAAAUGUGGCCUUCGGGUCUGAAAUCCCUCCCAAUGUGGUGAGACCAAUAUGAGGCUUCUCAAUUGUAUUGUGCCAAGGUCUACCCUAAUCAGUGAUAGAAAUGUUUCUUUCAUAUAUGCAUUGCAUGUCCGCCACAUACCAUCUCUGAAUCACCUAAGCUACUGGUAUGGUAGAGAGGUAAGUUGACUUCUAAGCUUCUAGAGCUAAACCAUAGGAAUCCUCAGUACCCUAAAUAUCUUUACACCCUUAUCAGAUUGAGGUGCAUUUGUCUCUUGAUCACUGGUUCUUGAAAAGGACUUUACCCCUUCCUCAGAUAGGGGCACAGCUAACUCCUUCUCAACUGCACUAGAACUAGAUUCAUAUUAUCCAUUUUUAGAUUGAGAAGUGAUGGCAGAGUGUGGUGGUGAUAUUGGUACGACAUUCAUUCUGUGUCCAGUUUGGAUAACCUGACUAGCUUGAGGCCAGGAUUGAGGUACCGGUGGUGGUGUAGGCUGAAAGACUAGUUGAAUGGCAAAUUAGGUUGUAGUACCUCUCCGAGUUUGGUCCUAGGUCUAUCAUGAGGCUAAUAGUUCACUACCAAUGGAGUACACCUCAAUGGAUCCACUUCUCUCGGGAGACUCAUCUCUCAAUCUAGACUGGAUGCCCUUCGUCAGUGUAGCUUUUGGUGCCAUAGUACCUGUAAGGAGAAAUAUCAUUGAUUGAACACAAUAAUUUAACAAUAAAAGAACAUAAAGUUUAGGUUCUAUGUCAAGUUCAACCUAGGACUGCAACCUACUGUUGACACCUAAUUUUUGCACUCCAUAACUAAGUUUAGUCCUGAUUUUCUUUGAUUUUUAAAUAAAAUUAUUAUAUUUAUUUUUUCCAAAUAAAAAGAUAUUCAAAGUAUUUAUCUAAGUAAUUUUGUCAUUUUAAGUAGUAAUUAUAUAUCAUCGUAUUUAAUUAUACAAAAAUAUAUUACUUAAAAAUUUAUUUUACGAAAUAUCAGAUUUUAAUCAAAUCAUAGCGUAAAAAUUAAUUCAAAUGGAUAAAAUUUUGACUUAAAUAUGAUUUGUUCUAAAAAAUAAUUUAUUUGGAGAAAUAUUUAUUUGAUUUUAUAUACUCAAGAAGCUCGGGAUUAAAUGAAGUAUUAAUUCAUAUCAAAUUUCAAUUUAAUUUAACCAAUUUAUUAGAUUUGGUAAUAAUUGAAAUCAAUUGUCCAUAAUUGCAAUGUAAUCCACCAAUUGAUUUCAAUUUGGUAAAAAAUAAAUGAAUUUGGCUAAAUUUUAAAUCCUAAUUGGGGUUAUCUUUUAAAUAACCCCAAAAUCCUAAAAAACAUGACGUAAAUCUACCCAUUCUAAUUUGACUUUCAAAAUUUAUACUAGAUUGUACAAUUCCACCUCAACCUUUUCCUUUUUCAAUUUGAAUUUUAAAAUUUUCAUUAUAUGGUACAAUUUCACCUCAACCUUGUCCUUUUUCUAAUUUGAAUUUCAAAAUUUAUACUAGAUUGUACAAUUCCACCUCAACCUUAUUCUUUUUCUAUUUUUGAAAUUCAAAAUUUGUACUAGAUUGUACAAUUCCACCUCACUUUAUCCUCCAACAAACCUUACCCUCAAUUUUGAAAUUCCCAAAACACCACUAAAUUCUUUCUCCCACAUUGAUGGAUUCAAAGAAUUGAAUGUCCAUCCUUUCCUAUAAAUAUUACUACUAUCUUGGUAGAAAAAAGUUUCAAAAAGUGGAAAAAACUUUUGAGAAAAUAGUUAAAUUUCUUUUCUUUAGUAAAAAUUUUCAAGCGGUAGUCUAAUUGGGGUUCUCAAAAGAUUUCUUUUUGGUGGUGAUCAAGAUUCCGAAGAAGGCUUGAAUUCUCGUUUUGCUGCCUAAAAAGGUAAACACACCUUUCCCCUUUUAGUUUUAUUAUUGUUUUCUUUCUCAUCUCCUUCUUCUUCGUAGUUCGUAGUUGUAAUUUUGUUUGCUGAGAUUGUUUAUUAUAGAGGACCUUGAAAGGCAUAAGACAUUGUGCUAUCAGCAUUAUGGUUAUUUUCAUGUUCAUUGUAUAAAAAUGAGCUAGCAAUAGUUGAACGUGUUUCUUUGUCUUUAUUCUUUGAUUAUUUUGGAUAAAGUAUUGAUCUUUGCUUAAAAGACAUACUCAUGCCUUAUUUAAAUUCAUUAUGAGCAGAUAUAUUUGUUUUUAGCAUGUAAAGCUGUUUCCUUUAUGUUGAAAAAAAUAGUUAAUAUUGAUUUUUUUUCAUUCUUAACUUUAUUUUUUGAUUAUUAUGGAUAAAGUUUCAAUCUUUGCUUAAAAGACGCACUUAUUCUUUAUUUAUUUAUUUAUCUAUUUGGUCAUUUAUUUAGACUUCGGAGCCAAAGUUGUAAUUUAAUAUAGGUGAAGCAGAUUUUGGGCCUCAAAGGUCCGAAAAUUAGUUUAGGAUAGGCUAUGGGCCAAAAGCCCAAGUAUUUAGAUUAGAAUAGGUGAAGAUAGGCCAAAAGCUCAAAUUAGCUUAGAAUGGGAUUUAUGGAUUUGGGCCUAAUGGCCUAAGUCCUUUAGUAUUCCCUUUUUCCUUAUAUAUGCUAAUUGUUCUUAGUAUUCUUAGACUUAGUUAAAAAUCCCCGCUAAGUCAUCAAAAUUUGUUUUGCACAAAUCUUGAAGAAAAAAUUUUUUCUUCAAUCAUUUUUUUUUCAAAAAUGAAUUUCCCCUUUUAAAGUUAGUCAAAAAAUUUAAUUUCACAUAGUCUGGAUAAUCACAAGUUAGCAGAUACUCCUGGUUCCUUAACAACCUUUGUAAUGCCCCACAUUUUGGACUAGAAUGAAAAUCUGUCAUUCCUAUGGAUGUUUCAAAAGCCUCAAAUCCUAUAUAAAUUUAGUGUGUUAAUCAAUUAUGUAGUGUGGGAAUCUAUUUGAGCAUGAAUUUAGAUGAUAGAGGUCCCCUAACUCAAGUACAAGUUAAAAGCCUUCCUAUCAUUCAAGUUUUAGUGAGUGUCAAAACUUGGGUCAAAUUCAAUCAACCAUAACUCAUUUAUAUAACUAACUGAUUGGUUUACCAUAUAUCAAAUGAAUUAUCUUUGAAUUAGCUUUCCAACGAUACCAAUUUCACCUAAAUUCGAUAUCGGAGCAAAGAGUUAUGCCUAUUUUACUCCAGCAUAUCAGGCUGGAAAUAGUGUGACAACAUUUGUGAUAGCUUAUCACAAUUGUGACGCCCUAUCAUAAAGGUUGUCAGCCUUAGGAAAAAACCAUCCCCUAAGUGAUGAAAUUCGUGGUAGCUUUUCACAUUUGUGAUGCCCUAUCACGAAGGUCGUCAGCUAUGAUUUUCAGCAACUGAGAAAUUAUUUCAUAAGGGUAUUUUGGUCUUUUUCUUCACCUUCCACAACAUAUAACCCUAAAGAGGCAUAUUUUUUCCCAUUUUUCUUCAAUUAAGCAUCUUAAAAACCCUCUCUUACACUCUCAACUACAAUAUUAGGGUUUCCAUCAAACUCAUUUCUCAAAAGUAAGAUUCAAGCAUUUUUCCAAGAUAAUCAAGAAUUAAGUUUUCCAAUCCAAGAAAUCUCCAGCAAAUCGUCAAGGUUUCCUUUCUAAGGUAUGCGUGUGUUCAUUCAUGGACUCCUUUCGUCCAUGAAGCUCAAGAACCCUUUUCUAAAACUAUAUAUUAUGGUUUUCAUUUUAUGAAUGGAUUGUUGAUCAUGUUUAUGUGUUGAAUGAUGCCAAGAUAGAAUCUUUAUGUGUUAUUAUGAAUCUAUGACAUCAUAUGAGUUGAAAAUAUGUAAGUUUGAUUAUUUAUGAUGAGUAAUUGUAUGAUUUACACCUAUUCCUAAGUUGUACAUGUAAGGUAUUUGAUAAAAUACCUAAGAGACUAGAAAUCAUGCAUUAUAGCUAAAUUGUGACUAAGUGAAGGAUUCAUGAUAGGCAUCUAUGAUUCAAUGUCAUCCAUGUUGAUAAUGUGUCUUGUGAACAUUGUUGGAUUACUCAUGAACUAGUCUUAUGGAAUUAUGCUAUACUUACUUGCAAAACCCACUCAUGUACAAGAUGUAGAAUACCGAUGUACUUCAUGAAAUUCCCCUAGUUAUAAUAAUAUGGAUUGCGAUUAUAAUAUGUAAUGAGCAUGAUAUUGAAAGCUAUGCAAGUAUAUACAUGUUGUAUGAAAUUCCCUUCCAUGAAAUAGAUUGUUGAGAACAAUGCUUAGUAUGAAAUUUCUUAUUUAUGAUAUUGUGGAAUAUGGACUCUACUCUUAUGAUCAAGUCAGUCAUGUGUGUCAGUUUCCUUCCAUCGAGUCCUCGGGGUACUUGUACCUAAGAAAUAUAGUUGUGUGCCUAGAUCCAUGUCAUGUUUUCACGAUACUCUCAAUCAAGCCAUGAUCUAUAGAAAUCAGUCAUUCAUGUAUCUCAGAAAAACUCAGUAAUCUCAGAAGUUCAGUAUUCUCAGUAAUCUCAGUGCUCAGUAACCUCAGUAAUAAUAGUAAAUCUCAGUAACUUCAGUACUCUUAAUCAGUCCUCAGAACACAUUAUAUUCCAUCCGUCAUCAAAAUCCAGUAAACUCAGUUUUAGCUCUACUAAAUAAUACCACCAGUAUCAGUUUAGUCAAUCAAUAUCAGUUCAACAAAUCAGUUCGGUUAAGUUAUUUAGUUUAGCCCAGUUAUUCAGUUUAGUGUCUUUCAGAUAAGAGUAGGAUUCAGCACCGAGCGAACCUAGAAAUGGGGGCCCACCCGCUAGAUUAGGACGGAGAUACUUAGAAACAAUCCCUAAGUUCUAGAACUACGUAGCCAGCGUAGGUACGAGAUGUCACCCAUUAGAUAGGACUGACAUACUCAGGGGUCACCCGCUAGCAUACUUAUAUGUAUAGGACUGAUCCCAGGAGUCACCCGCUAGAUUAGGACUAACUCUACAGCAGAUGUCUUUACUGGUGGUACGGUACUGACCCCCUUCCAGUCAGGGUAGAGAUUAGACCCCAGUCAGCUUAGCUUGGGGCAUGUCGGUUAGAUGAACACAUCCCACAGUUUUAGUUACAAAUUCAGGACUGUCAGAUACAGUCAACUCAGUUUAGUAGUGUAGAUUCAAUACUGUUAGAGACAAUCAAUCCUUAUCAUUAUAAAUAGGCUUCAUGAUCACCUAUUAGACAGAACUGAUCUUAACUAUAGUUAAACAGUAUCAGAAUCAUCAAAUUAAAGAUAACCCGCUUCAUAGGACUGAUCUUAAAUUCAGUUACUCCGUAUAAAACAGAACUCAAAUAGUUCCAUCAGAAUUUAGACUGUCAGAUACAGUCGCUCAGUAUCAGUUACAUCGUUUAGGCCAAUCAUCAUAGUUAUAUCAGUUAUCAAAAUUCAUGAUAUCAGUAUUCAGCUUCAGGAUUGUUAGACACAGUUAACCAGACCAGUUUUUCAUAAUUCAAACUGUCAAAAAUAGUCGUUCAUCUAUUCAGUAUCUCAAUAUCAGUACACUCAUGUUGUCAGUAUUCAGACUCAGUAGUCAUUAUCUCCAUGAGUUCAGUUAUAGUUAUGUAUGCAUGUAUGUAUUCUCACGUUCAUAUUAGUCAGCAUUGUCCAUAUAUAUAACCCUUUACAUUUAGCCUACCUCAAUUGUAUACUCAAUAUAUUCAGACGUACUGACGUAUUUGCGCUAUGGUGCUUUCUGUUAUGUUACACCAUAGGUUCAGAGGCACGAGCUCCAGAUCAGCAGUAGCAUUCUAGUGUUCAGAGUUUACAGUGAGUCCUUCUCAUUUGAGGAAGAUAUGAUUAUUGCUACAUUUACUAUUCAGUUGCUACAUGGAGUUAUUUGGAGAUUGUUCCUUCAACUCUUUAUUUAUUUUAGUUAGAGGCUUUCAAACUAGAUGUCAGAUUAGAUAUUCAGAUCUCAUUAUUUUCAGUAUUUAUGACUUGUUUUGGUAUUGUUAUACCUUUUUCUGUCAUUUUAUUAUCAGACG